UGGAAGGGGAGAGUUAAUGGGCCCAAUACCUGCAAUGAAUGUGCGACGGACCGCGUGCUGUAAAGUGAAAAUGUUACGAGAUGGGGGAGCCCUCGCUGUAGUGGUGUGGGUGGUCUGCAUGGAAGUCUGUACCUCAUGGUCCUGGUGGAUCCAGAGGUAUAGGGACCGGACAGUAAACAUGGCCGUCGUUAGGUCCAAUCACAG